rnacentral:rRNA from 1 species
UACGGAGGGUGCUAGCGUUGUUCGGAAUCACUGGGCGUAAAGCGCAAGUAGGUGGUGUGUAAAGUCAGAUGUGAAAUCCUGGGGCUUAACCUCAGAAUUGCAUCUGAUACUAAUACACUUGAGUACGGUAGAGGGUGGUGGAAUUCCUAGUGUAGAGGUGAAAUUCGUAGAUAUUAGGAGGAACACCGGAGGCGAAGGCGGCCACCUGGACCUGUACUGACACUGAGAUGCGAAAGCGUGGGGAU